AACGAACGCUGGCGGCAUGCCUAACACAUGCAAGUCGAACGAAGGCUUCGGCCUUAGUGGCGCACGGGUGAGUAACGCGUGGGAAACUGCCUAUUGGUGGGGAAUAACGACGGGAAACUGUCGCUAAUACCGCAUAAGCCCUUCGGGGGAAAGAUUUAUCGCCGAUAGAUGUGCCCGCGUCCGAUUAGCUAGUUGGUGAGGUAAUGGCUCACCAAGGCGACGAUCGGUAGCUGGUCUGAGAGGAUGAUCAGCCACACUGGGACUGGGACACGGCCCAGACUCCUACGGGAGGCAGCAGUGGGGAAUAUUGGACAAUGAGCGAAAGCCUGAUCCAGCAAUGCCGCGUGAGUGAUAAAGGCCUUAGGGUUGUAAAGCUCUUUCGGGUGGGACGAUGAUGACGGUACCACCAGAAGAAGCCCCGGCUAACUUCGUGCCAGCCGCCGCUGUAA
rnacentral:rRNA from 1 species